rnacentral:tRNA from 1 species
UCCCUGGAGGACUAGUGGUUAGACCUCGGUGCCCUCACCGCCAUGCCCUGGGUUCAAUUUCUGGCCAGGGAA